rnacentral:rRNA from 1 species
AAUUUUCGGCAAUGGGGGAAACCCUGACCGAGCAAUGCCGCGUGAACUAUGAAGGUCUUCGGAUCGUAAGGUUCUGUUAUUGGGAAAGAAAUGCAUAAUUAGGAAAUGAGUUAUGCUUGACGUUACCGACAGAAUAAGCACCGGCUAACUUCGUGCCAGCAGCCGCGGUAAUACGAAGGGUGCAAGCGUUAAUCGGAAUUACUGGGCGUAAAGCGCGCGUAGGUGGUUUGUUAAGUUGGAAGUGAAAGCCCCGGGCUCAACCUGGGAACUGCUUUCAAAACUGGCAAGCUAGAGUAUGGCAGAGGGUGGUGGAAUUUCCUGUGUAGCGGUGAAAUGCGUAGGUAUAGGAAGGAACACCAGUGGCGAAGGCGACCACCUGGGCUAAUACUGACACUGAGGUGCGAAAGCGUGGGGAGCAAACA